GGCUGUCGUCAGCUCGUGUCGUGAGAUGUUGGGUUAAGUCCCGCAACGAGCGCAACCCUCGCCUCUAGUUGCCAGCAUUCGGUUGGGCACUCUAGAGGGACUGCCGGCGACAAGUCGGAGGAAGUGGGAUGACGUCAAAUCAUCAUGCCCCUUAUGACCUGGGCUACACACGUGCUACAAUGGGCGGUACAAAGGGCUGCGAACCCGCGAGGGGGAGCGAAUCCCAAAAAGCCGCUCUCAGUUCGGAUUGCAGGCUGCAACUCGCCUGCAUGAAGCCGGAAUCGCUAGUAAUCGCGGAUCAGCAUGCCGCGGUGAAUACGUUCCCGGGCCUU
rnacentral:rRNA from 1 species